rnacentral:rRNA from 1 species
CCUACGGGAGGCAGCAGUGGGGAAUAUUGGGCGAUGGGCGCAAGCCUGACCCAGCAACGCCGCGUGAAGGAAGAAGGCUUUCGGGUUGUAAACUUCUUUUAAGGGGGAAGAGCAGAAGACGGUACCUCUUGAAUAAGCCACGGCUAACUACGUGCCAGCAGCCGCGGUAAUACGUAGGUGGCAAGCGUUGUCCGGAUUUACUGGGGGUAAAGGGCGGGCAGCCGGGAAGACAAGUCAGAUGUGAAAUCCCGCGGCUCAACCGCGGAACUGCAUUUGAAACUGUUUUUCUUGAGUACCGGAGAGGUGAGCGGAAUUCCUUGUGUAGCGGUGAAAUGCGUAGAUAUAAGGAAGAACACCAGUGGCGAAGGCGGAUGACUGGACGGCAACUGACGGUGAGGCGCGAAAGCGUGGGGAGCAAACAGGAUUAGAUACCCGGGUAGUC